rnacentral:rRNA from 1 species
AGCAGCCGCGGUAAUUCCAGCUCCAAUAGCGUAUAUUAAAGUUGUUGCAGUUAAAAAGCUCGUAGUUGAAUUUCGGGGUCAGUAGGCUGGUCGUGCCACCGGUACGUACUGGUCUCACUGAUUCCUCCUUCCUGAAGAACCGUAAUGCCAUUAAUUUGGUGUUGCGGGGAAACAGGACUGUUACUUUGAAAAAUUAGAGUGUUUAAAGCAGGCUAACGCUUGAAUACAUUAGCAUGGAAUAAUGAAAUAGGACGAUCGAUCCUAUUUUGUUGGUUUCUAGGAUUGACGUAAUGAUUAAUAGGGAUAGUUGGGGGCAUUAGUAUUCAAUUGUCAGAGGUGAAAUUCUUGGAUUUAUUGAAGACUAACUACUGCGAAAGCAUUUGCCAAGGAUGUUUUCAUUAAUCAAGAACGAAAGUUAGGGGAUCGAAGACGAUCAGAUGCCGUCGUAGUCUUAACCAUAAACUAUGCCGACUAGGGAUCGGAUGAUGUUAAUUUUUAUAAUG